GUCUCUUGCAUGGCGCAAUUGGUAGAGCAGUCGACUCCUAGUCUGUUGGUCAAGGGUUCGAUUCCCGUGGACG